GACGAACGCUGGCGGCGUGCUUAACACAUGCAAGUCGAGCGGUAAGGCCCUUUCGGGGGUACGACGAGCGGCGAACGGGUGAGUAACACGUGGGUGACCUGCCCUUAGCUCUGGGAUAAGCCUGGGAAACUGGGUCUAAUACCGGAUAUGACUCCAUAACGCAUGUUGUGGGGUGGAAAGCCUUGUGCGGCUAGGGAUGGGCCCGCGGCCUAUCAGCUUGUUGGUGGGGCGAUGG
rnacentral:rRNA from 1 species